rnacentral:lncRNA from 1 species
CUUCCCUUCAGCACUGUUUUUUUUUUUUUUUUUUUAAAUCUAUUUCUGCUGUUUGAUGCCCUGUUGUUUGUGUUUUUUUUUCUUCUGCUGCAGUUUAGCUCAUACAGGGUGAUGAAGAUCAUUAUUAUGCAUUACUUUUUCUUUCUUUAAUUUAUGUAUUAGUAUUAAAACAGACUGAAUUAUGCCCGAUCAUAACAAAGAUAUAGGUGCCUGGGCAGAAAAUGUGAUGAAGGAGCUGCUUGCAUCCAUCCUACACUCUGAAGUCCCUGUAGGAUCCUCAGACAUAUUGUGCUUAUUUUAGUUAUAAUACACGUUAGACUGUGAAGAGGACGGGAAGCAAACAGAACUACAUUUCUGGGUCUGCAGGAUUCCUUAAACAAUAGCUCUGAGAAGUGGCAUACUUCUAACCCUUAAGAUGUGCAAUCUGUAUGCAGUAACUGCCAGUGCCCUUAUUAGACAUGCAUCCUGCAGCACCUGUGACCUGCAAGGAAGAUGGCUUGCUCUUCAUGCUGUAAUCUAGUGACUGAUGCUGCCACAGAGCUAGGAGGUGGCUGUACUCUGGCUGUGUGCAAAUAAUCCUGACAGAAGGAGGAGAUGCAGAUUCCAGUGGAGCAGAAAUAGAUCUAUGGCCACCCUCUGGCUGAAAGUGUGGGUGUUACUUCCCUCCUCUGCACAUCUUUCAGUUGAGAUAAAAUGGUGUACCAAAAAUUAACUUAAAAGAUCCCUGUCUCCUCAGCUAAAUAUUUAUGCAAUAAUCCCUAUGGCCUAGAAGGGAAGAAUACACUAGGGAGCACAAGGCUUUUACCUCUGCUUGAAACCCUGGGCUAUCCCAAAUUAUCUGAACUUUGCAGGUGGAAUGGUGGUUUUUACCCUCCCAGGGAAACCAUUUUCACCUGGGCUUGUGACUGUGCUCUACCUCUUUUAACAUAGCAGAAAGGGCAUCUCAGCCUAAAUUUUCUUACUGUGCUUUGAGAUGCCUGUGGAAAUGCCUGUUGUGUUUAUGGGUCUGCCAACAGUAAAAGGAAGAAAAGAUUCUCAUGGUAAGUCUGAAGGUUUGGCUUUCAGACGAAGAAUUAGAAGUAAGAGGCAGCAGGUAAAACAGAUCUCACAUGGACUCCAGCUUAAAUUUAAAGACAAGUUGAUUUACUUAUUUGAUUGGGCUUAAAAUAUCUAACAUAAUUUUGGGAAAAUGAUCAUGGUCUACUAAGUCAGAAGAGCCCAGAAAGCUGGUAAAAUAAAAAUGUCAUGGUGUGGUGAAGGUUGGCUUUCCUCAAAUGAUUUUUUUCUUAAACCUGGGAGAGCCUGGACAUAUGCUGAGGUACUCAGCCUGAUUAAUGCUACUAGGUAUUCACCAGCCUUCACCACAAAAUCCCUUCUCAGACAGUAAUACCAAAUAUUCUUGCUUUUCUAAUUACUUAAAAAUAUAUAUUUGUAGCAUGAUAUAGGAAACAAAUGAUCUUGGAGGUGGUUAUCUGAAUCAUUUUAUUAUAAACACUGAACAAUUAAAUUCAAAGUAUUUAUAGACAUUUGAUUGAACGUUUCAAAUAAAUACAGUUUUUCAUUUGAUGCUUUCUUUUCAGGAGACUAUGUUGAAAUAUCCUUUGUAUCAUAAAAUUUAAUGCUCUGCUUUAGUAGUUUCAAAGCUCAAGUAUUUAUGCUUAUGGAUAGACACAUGUAGACAUAGCAGAAAUUCUGUCCCAAGUGAUUCUGACACAGCACCUCUUUUCCUUUGGCCAUAGCAGGGUUCAGUCAUACUUGGUCCCACUUUGCAUGAGCCCUCAGAGGUCAGUGCUUCAUUUGCAUGAUUUUAAUAACCUGUGCAACCCAGUGAGUUCACACUAUGUAGAACUGGAAAGAGAUUUGUUGGUGUGAAGAUUUCUCACUGCAAGGGCAGAAGGAAUUCAGAGGAGGGAGGGGAAAAAUAUGUUGCAUAUGUGUGCUGUGUAGGAAGUGUAUUUGGGACUAAGGAGAUUCCCUGAGAACAGAAAAGGGAUAAUUCUGAGUAGAUGAAUUAGCAGAACAGAUUUGGAAGCUUGGUCCAGGAAAAAUGUUGGAGCUGGGGAGGGAGGGAUAGAGUAAUAUUGCAACAGUAUUGGAAGAAUCAUCCUCACUGGAAAAGAGGUUGUGGGUUUAUUAUUAUUAUUAUUAUUAUUAUUUUAAUUUUUUUAAUGACUCCAGAUUCUGUUGUGUGCCUCAUGUCUGAAAACAUAGGCUGAUCAAAUUGUGUAGCAGGUUGUUAUCAAGGUCUCACUGUCCACAAUUAGCAACAUCCUAAGCUUUUAUUUUGGUGGAGAUGAUGUUCUGAUCUGGUUUGUGUUCUGCUUUCAGCAAUUGUUACACUUGUUUCUAGGAUUUUAUCCCAUACAAGUUUAAAUACAAGUAAACUUGAGCAGAAAAUGUAUUUUAAUUCAAUAAAUUGUUGAUCUAUUCUUCAAAUAUGUUGGGAUGUUUUACUAAAGAGUCAACCCCGUGUUGCUGUGCAAUACGCAGAAUCCUCGCUGAAC